GAGACACCCCUAUGGAGCAGGAUUUGCUUCAGUGGGCUUUGGUGAUCACUGAGUCUGCCCCUUGAGUGUGUCACU
rnacentral:pre_miRNA from 1 species